GUCUCCCUGCCUACAGACCUAAAGCGUACCCUCCCAUCCUUUGCUCCAAGCCUUCAUUUUUGGACAUCAGCCUCAAUUUUCCUAGGAAAAACAAAUUUAACCUUUGAUUUAACCUUUCCGCAAGCUAUUUUUACUUCUAUCUCAAGCUUAUUUUAACCUCAGUAGCCAAUAAAUGCUUAAAGGUCAAACACCAUUCCUAAGAGCCGGGCUCCUUACCCCGGGGAGAAGGGCUGAGAUCACCGAUUUUUUUUCCCCCAAGCAAAAUCCCCUCUUAGAAAUGUCCCAGCGGUAGGAGGGUCUAGGCUCAAACCCGCAAGUAAACAAUUUUCACUGUGGGUGCUGAGAGAAGGAGCCGGGAAUUUUCCCUGUGCAUGCCAUCCUUCCCACUCAAAAAGCGCUCAGGAUGUCCAGGUCCAUUUGCUGGCAUUGCCGAGACUGGAAAACACUGCUCCGACGCGACCAGGACCCACCACGUGAAAUGCCUCUCCAUUGCCGCUGAAGCACGAUAGCUGGAGGUGCGGGGCUCAUCGCGACACGGGAGGAGCGGACGAGGAGAACCCGCUGCCUCUGGCGUAAUCCUGCUAAUUUAAUUUCAGUUAUUCUGGGUUUGACAUAGCCAGAUAAUCCACAUUUUAGGGGAUUUGUAAUUUUCAAAUCCUUUUUAGGCUGUGUAGUUAGGAGCAAAGUCUGCCUGUAAAUUCAAGAAAGCUGCAGCCAUAACCUUUAUUUCGUUGUGUCUAUAAAGCCAGAAUGGCUACCCUACCAUCCAUAGGCAUGCAGUCACCAGUGCCAGGGUGGGAAAAUGAGGGCAUCUGAAUUUUGGUCACAAAUCAGACACUUUUCUGGUUAACAGUAGAAGCCAGAGUGGAUUUCCCACCCUCAGAUACCUCCAAGAGCAGCCACUAAAUCUGCCAUAGCUGAAAGCUUGAGCGCUGUUCUUCUAAAAGAAGGCAUGGGAUUCCUGCAGCCCUCUCCUGGCUUUAUGAAUUUAUCCUUUUGUGGUUUUGUUCCUCUUUUAGCCCCUUCUUGGACGGCUCCUGUGGUGUAUUGUCUGCUGCUUCCUCCCUCUCUUUUCUCCCUCUGCUACCCACUGCAUUUUUCUUUGCACAAUCCGGUCCACUGAUCCUCUUCAAUGAUGAUAUUCAUAUCAAAUUGCUGGCUAUCUGCCUUUCCACGCUCUCUCAUCUCACUCCAUUGCAGAGCACACUUCAGUCUGCCCCGCAACAUCACACCCCGGGCCGCACAGUCGAAACUGAGACUGGAUGUGCUGAGCCAAGCCAAAUCCCUCGUUCUUCUCACCCAACUUCAUCCAUCCGCUCUCCCGCUCAGAGGAGCAACGCACACCUGGCACGGCUCACCUGAUACGUUGUCAAAAGCACUUUAUAUGAUGAAUGAUACAAUGAAUGCCAGAAAUAUGUGUCUAAAAUAACUUUUACAUACAAGAAGUGGCUAGAUGGAUGAAUGGAUGGAUGGACGGCUGAUUCACUGGCUCAUCAGCCAUGGAAUGGAAGUAUAACACACCAGCAGGACAGGGUUCUGGGCCACAUUCAGAAGAAAAUACUUCAGUACUGGUAGCUCCUUGCAGAGAGCAUCCCACACUGAACAUCACCCUCCUGUGAGCACAGAGGACCUCAAAGUUGUGCACUAUAUUUGUAAAAUAUCACAGCAAUGAGAGCAUGAAGACUCGUUCAAUCAUUGAGUCUCUUUGUCUCCUAGGAGAGGAUUACAGCCCCUCUGCAAAGGCUGAGCCAGCUACUGAUUUGAAUUUACCUUUGCCCUUCGAAAAGAGGCCACUCUUAACUUGUGCUGCCAGGCUGCUGAGCAGCCCCACAUCCAUCCGAGCCAUUUUCUGGUGAGCUCCAUGGAUGACAGACAACCAUCGAAGCAACAAUUCCUGCAUGCCAGGAAUUUAACACAUUGUAUAUGCAACGCAUACCCCCUUUAUAGUGGUUAUAAUCUUCAAAUCAAUCAUACCUGGCAGCGGAAGUUUAACAUUAAUGACUUUCUUAUUAUGGAUGGAAAAACCCUUCAGAGCUAAUGAGCAGAAACAAGACCGCUUCGCUCCUACCUGAGGAGGUGACUCCAGGGUCACGACCAAUGCUUGGAGCAGAGCUGUAGCGAUGCUCGCUUUAGCACAGCAAAUCCAAAAGAGUCGGUCUGGCAGGCUACGCUGCCUCUGCCUUUGGAGCCAAGACCCGAGUUCAGAAAGGGCUUUAAGGAUCUCGACUCGUGCCCACCUAACAGCAGGGAGGAGGCAGUUCCCCAUCACACAGCCGUCAACCCAGAUGCAUCACCCUUCCCGGCAAUACGAGCUGGGACCUCGGUCCCAGGGGAAGCCUUGCUCUCCCCAGCCAGGGACAGCUGCCAAAGUGUGAAGGGGGGGGUUCAGUUUAAUUUUAUCUUGACAGCCAGGAGAAAACAGGACCCAGCGAGUUACACAUUUAAUUUCCAAGCCGGUCCCGCAGGGCAGAAGGAGCGGGUGAGCCAGGGAGGGUGUGCACCCUGGCCCAAGCGCGCACGGCAUCGCACGGUGCCCGGGGGUGGUGGCAUCUGCCCUGGCAUACCUCGGGGAGCAGCACGCCGCAAGCCUGGCUGCUGGAGGAAAAAUAAACAAAUACAGUGAGUCACAAAGGCAAGCGGCAUAUGACAGGGACAGGUACUUAUGCAAAUAGACUGUUAACACCCAGCCAGACAGAGCUGAUAAGCCUCCUAGGCCAGCUGGAGGCUUCUUCAUCCUGCUGGGGGGAGAAGGAGGAGGAGGACAGCUUUAGGAUAACAACAGAAAACCGAAAAGCAAGAGCAAGGCAGCUCUGGGAAGGUUGCACAGGGCUGCCCGGCUUCGGUACCAAUCUGCUGCACCCUGCCAUGCCAGCCUGUCGCUGCGCUGCUCGGUGCUGGCGGUCACGCUCUGCUUCCAGAAGCAUCCUCCCAUGCCGACGGGGGUUAGCGUGUGCCGUGGUACCCACCACCGAUACCUCCUAGGGGGGUGGUGGGCACAUCACCCUGCACACCCGCGGCAGCAAGGGGAUCAAUCGCAAAGUUUCUCAGAUUUGUGAGGCUGCAGCACAGGGGGUGCGGGGGGAGCUGCCUUCCCCCCGUCUUGUACUGGUCCCCAUAACUCUCCCCCCCAUCUCUGCUGACCAACCCCCUCCAGGAGCAUGAAUGAGGCAAAUUAUCCUUCUGCAAUGCUGCUGGGGAUCCCCCAGGAAGCUUCAUAUCUGGCCGGGCUGGGCUGCUGAUAAUCAGAUAGAGGGGGUUUAAAAUAAUCAAGCCUAAGCAGCUGAAAUCCAAACUGGAAUAGGUAAUGGGGUCAGAAAACAAACACUGCAGCCAGGGCACAGCCGGAGAGCUGGUCUGCAGGGCCCGAUGGACAGGGCACCACACACACAUUCGGGUCAGGCUGUGCCAGGAGCUGCGGCCAUUCUUCAGGAUGCUGCCCAAAAACCAGAGUCUCCCAAGUCCCAUGCUUUUCUGGCACCGGGAAAAGUGUGUGAAAGACCCCCCCCCCCGUGUUUCACACGGAGCCCCGACAGCCAGGUGGCUCCUUCCCCCCCCAUUGCUACAAGGCUGAGUCACAGAAGAAAGGAUUUUGCUGCCCCAGAGCUCCAUUAGUCCCCAGGGCCCCAGCACUGCCGCAGCUCAGGGGAUGCAGGACACCUCCCUGCUCCCGUAGCAUCAUCGCGCACGGGCUCCCAGUCCCCUGGUCCCCUGUCCCAGACCGGCUCUGCCAACACUUCAGCUGCCUUCACCCACGGGCUGGGAAGAGGGGACAGGAGCACCAAGGAAAGGAGGGGCUGCUAAGUUUAGGGAAUAUUUGUCUCGCCCGCCACUCAGAUUUUCAGCUUGUAUUAAUGAUGUAAUGCUCUGAUGGUGAGAAGCCAGAGUUUGCCCUUCCUGUGGUAUUCCCUUAGGAAAAAAAUAUUACUGCAAUGUAAAACUGAAAAUUGAAACAGGCUGGUGAUUCACUAGAGAAAACGCCUCUCCCUUUUCCCUAUUCAGUGAGGCAGAGAUGAAUGUUGUGAGGUUUGAAAGAAAAACUGAAAAAACCUUUAAUUAAUCCCUGGAGGCUAAACUAUGCCAGAUAUGGACGGAUUUCUCCUCUGCCUCCUUUUUGGAGCAAGAACUUGCUGCUGUCUUCCUGCUGCGGCUCUUUCCGGGGGAUUCUCCGGUCCCCAGAGGAGGAUCCAAAGCAUUUUCCAAAGCUUUUUUGGGGGAGAGGGUGGCUGCCAGGGAAGCCUCACUGCUGUCCCAGAGCAGCAAGGAGACCAGGAGCCCCCUCCGGCAUUUCCCAGAUCAGCGCAGACUUUUGGAAGCCCCUACCUGCUGGGAGGAAACUUUGAGUUCAAGGUCAGGUUUGUUUGUCUUCCAUCCUGACAGAAACAAACUGUUAUGCAAUAUUCAGGAAGUCACUUUUAUCAGACUCGAUUCAAUUUAUAAGAUUAAGAGCAUGGAAAAACAAAUACUAGUGCUGGAUGGAAAGUGCUGGCCCUGACCAGGCCAACGCUUUGUUUGUACAAAGAUUGUUAAUAGGGUAUCUCCUAUUUCCACAAGUCAGUAAGGGCAGGAUACAAAAUGUGCUGCUUUUUACAGGGGGCUGGUGAUGAUGAGAAAAAAUUAACCCUCACUUAGAGGAGCAGAAACUGUAGCAAAGGUUUUUUUUUUUUUUUUUUUUGAGUGCGACUUCUGUGGCUGCUACUGCAACUCCUGCAGAAACUGCUCCAGCUCAGGAGCAUCCCGUGAUGUAAAGCCAGGGCUUGACCCCCAGCAGAAGGCAGAGGACUGCAGCUGCAUUGCUAGCAGUACCGGUGCUGGCCAGAUUUGCUUGCAUAUAGCUACCUUAGUGCCAGGCAGGAGCGUGGCUGCAAUACAGGUAAAGGCUUUGCUCACUAAAACCCUGACUUGCAAAGUAAUGUGUAAAAUAGAGCAUGUGCAAUUUUCACAGGGAUCGACAACAGUUGGCACAGCCAGAUGACCUCAUUCAGAAAAUGCACUGGAGAAAAGAAAUCUUAACUUGCAGAGGGAAAACAGUACCAAGUAAGACUGAGGCUGGCCCUAUGUCUUAUCUGCAAGUCUGCUGAAGCCUUUAAAGAAAAAAAGCAAGAAGAAAAGCACCAGGAACUGCAACAGAGGAGCCUCAAUCCUCAUCCCAGGGAACAGAGGCCCAUGCCAGAGAUCACAUCAGCCACAGUCCAGAAAACGUAUCUGCCAUCUUGACACUUCUUCCAACCAAGGCCCUUACAAAGUUUCAAUAAUCACUUCUAUCAAGACAAGUUCAGACCAGUGCUUUCUGUUGAUACAGGAAAAAAAUCUGGAAAUUUAGUUCCAGCACUGAACUCCCUUAAUUCAGUACCAUGUAUAUAGAUAUUAUACACAGAGAAAGUUAAAAUGUAGUAAUACGGAGCUAUCAAGUUGAUAAUAGCUAAGGGAGAACCUGAGCUUUGAAAGAAAACUAUUAGCAAUAUCAGAUUUGCAAGUUCAGCUAUGGGAAGGACCACAAAGCCUGAGCACAUGCUAUAUAUCUUCCUUUUAUUGACUGCUUUGUGGGGAACUGCAUUUCUUGUUGAAGUUGAGAGCUGCAGACUGCACUCUGUGUUGAUUCUGAUUAUGGAGUGGCAGUAAUUAAACCUCUGGAGCAUUAAGUUACCAUUUUAACCAAAUGCCUGCAUUUUAUCUUGAUGGGAAAUUGAAAGCAAGAUUCAGAUUUUCACAGUAAAUAAAAACUGUUGGCUGUUUCACAAAUAA